AGCGAACGUUAGCGGCAGGCUUAACACAUGCAAGUCGCGCGAGAAAAGGGGCUUCGGCCCCCCAGUAAAGCGGCGGACGGGUGAGUAACACGUGGGUAAUGUACCCUUCAGCGGGGGAUAACAGUCCGAAAGGAUUGCUAAUACCGCAUUCGUCGGCGAGGUCCUCGGAUCUUGUCGGGAAAGGUGGCCUCUCCAUGGAAGCUACCACUGAAGGAUCAGCCCGCGUCCCAUCAGCUAGUUGGCGGGGUAAUGGCCCACCAAGGCGAAGACGGGUAGCUGGUCUGAGAGGAUGAUCAGCCACACUGGAACUGAGACACGGUCCAGACUCCUACGGGAGGCAGCAGUGGGGAAUAUUGGGCAAUGGGCGCAAGCCUGACCCAGCCAUGCCGCGUGAGUGAUGAAGGCCUUCGGGUCGUAAAGCUCUGUGGGGAGGGACGAAACAGCUUGUGGCUAACAUCCACGAGUCUUGACGGUACCUCCUUAGCAAGCACCGGCUAACUCCGUGCCAGCAGCCGCAGUAAGAC
rnacentral:rRNA from 1 species